UACGAAGGGGGCUAGCGUUGCUCGGAAUCACUGGGCGUAAAGCGCACGUAGGCGGAUUGUUAAGUCAGGGGUGAAAUCCUGGAGCUCAACUCCAGAACUGCCUUUGAUACUGGCGAUCUUGAGUCCGGGAGAGGUGAGUGGAACUGCGAGUGUAGAGGUGAAAUUCGUAGAUAUUCGCAAGAACACCAGUGAGAAGGCGGCUCACUGGCCCGGAACUGACGCUGAGACGCGAAAGCGUGGGGAGCAAACAGG
rnacentral:rRNA from 1 species